rnacentral:rRNA from 1 species
CCUACGGGAGGCAGCAGUGAGGAAUAUUGGUCAAUGGUCGGGAGACUGAACCAGCCAAGCCGCGUGAGGGAGGAAGGUACAGAGUAUCGUAAACCUCUUUUGUCAGGGAACAAAGACUGGGACGCGUCCCCGGAUGAGUGUACCUGAAGAAAAAGCAUCGGCUAACUCCGUGCCAGCAGCCGCGGUAAUACGGAGGAUGCGAGCGUUAUCCGGAUUUAUUGGGUUUAAAGGGUGCGCAGGCGGUCUGUUAAGUCAGCGGUCAAAGCCCGGGGCUCAACCCCGGCGCGCCGUUGAAACUGGCAGUCGCGAGUGGGAGAGAGGUAUGCGGAAUGCGCGGUGUAGCGGUGAAAGGCAUAGAUAUCGCGCAGAACUCCGAGUGCGAAGGCAGCAUGCCGGCUCCACACUGACGCGGAGGCACGAAAGCGUGGGUAUCGAACAGGAUUAGAUACCCUGGUAGUC